UCGAGCGAUUUCUUCGGUAAAGAGCGGCGGACGGGUGAGUAACGCGUGGGUAACCUGCCCUGUACACACGGAUAACAUACCGAAAGGUAUGCUAAUACGAGAUAAAAUAUUUUUAUCGCAUGGUAGAAAUAUCAAAGCUUUUGCGGUACAGGAUGGACCCGCGUCUGAUUAGCUAGUUGGUAAGGUAAUGGCUUACCAAGGCGACGAUCAGUAGCCGACCUGAGAGGGUGAUCGGCCACAUUGGAACUGAGACACGGUCCAAACUCCUACGGGAGGCAGCAGUGGGGAAUAUUGCACGAUGGGCGAAAGCCUGAUGCAGCAACGCCGCGUGAGCGAUGAAGGCCUUCGGGUCGUAAAGCUCUGUCCUCAAGGAAGAUAAUGACGGUACUUGAGGAGGAAGCCCCGGCUAACUACGUGCCAGCAGCCGCGGUAAUACGUAGGGGGCUAGCGUUAUCCGGAAUUACUGGGCGUAAAGGGUGCGUAGGUGGUUUCUUAAGUCAGAGGUGAAAGGCUACGGCUCAACCGUAGUAUGCCUUUGAAACUGGGGAACUUGAGUGCAGGAGAGGAGAGUGGAAUUCCUAGUGUAGCGGUGAAAUGCGUAGAUAUUAGGAGGAACACCAGUUGCGAAGGCGGCUCUCUGGACUGUAACUGACACUGAGGCACGAAAGCGUGGGGAGCAAACAGGAUUAGAUACCCUGGUAGUCCACGCCGUAAACGAUGAGUACUAGCUGUCGGAGGUUACCCCCUUCGGUGGCGCAGCUAACGCAUUUAGUACUCCGCCUGGGAAGUACGCUCG
rnacentral:rRNA from 1 species